rnacentral:misc_RNA from 1 species
GUCAUAGAAAAUACAUACAUUUUUCCUUUAACAUAUUGGGAAGUGAAAGCAGUAAAUAUUAAACUUUAUACAAGAAUUUAUAUACGAGAACAUAACGUCAGCAGUACCAUAACAAACAAUCUGUGAGGGUUGUGGGGACGCCGGGCCAUUUACCUAACACUGCUGCUAUCCGCUCAUUACAACCAUGAAGCGAGGCAAGGCAUGUGUGACCAGCAUUGUGAAGGACGCCAGUGUUAUAUUACUGGACAUUGAGGGUACAACAACGUCCAUCAGCUUCGUCAAGAAUGAGCUGUUUCCUUACGUGCGGCGCGAGGUGGGCCAGUACCUGCAGCGCACCUGGGACAACGAGGAGACCAAGAGGGACGUGGCCGCGCUGUCCCGCCAGGUCGAGGAGGACGUGGCGGCGGGGUUGGCCGGGAGCCAGGCACUGCCAAGCACAGGUGAGCGGGAGGCGGUGAUUGCAGCAUUGGUGGCCAACGUGGAGGGCAUGAUGGACGCUGACAGGAAGGUGGGGCCGCUCAAGGCCUUGCAGGGACACAUGUGGCGCCGCGCCUACCAAGAGGGCGCCGUGGAGGGCCAUGUGUACGAUGACGUGGUGCCUGCCCUGGAGGAGUGGCGUGCCCUAGGGAAGCGUAUCUACAUCUACUCCUCCGGCAGCGUGGAGGCACAAAAACUGCUCUUCGGACACUCCUGCCACGGUGACCUUUUACAUUUCUUCAGUGGCCACUUCGACACGUCUGUGGGAGCCAAGGUAGAUUCCCAGAGUUACAGGGCUAUUGUUUCCCAGCUGCAGUGUGGGUCCGGGGAGGAGGUGCUCUUCAUUACUGAUCUGGAGAAGGAGGCAUUUGCUGCGGCCGAGGCAGGAAUGCAAGUGGUGGUGUCCGUGAGGGAAGGCACGACGCCCCUGACCCAAGCUUGCCUGGAUUCCUUUUACACCAUCACCUCCUUCGUAGAGCUAUCCCAAGAGGACCCUGAUUCCACGAGCCCGUCCCCGAAGAAGCCAAGACUGGAGGCCAAGGGCGAAGAGGAGAAGGUGAAGGGCGACGGAGAGGCAGACGGGCACAAGAAUGGAAGUGAGAAAGACAAAGGAACAGCUACUGAGAAAGAGGAGGGAGGUAAAGAGGCGGUUCAGAACUAGAAUAGAAUGUGUAGCGGCUUGAUGGUUGAUGGAUUUUGUUGUACUGUUUUAUCAGAGAGAGAGAGAGAGAGAGAGAGAGAGAGAGAGACAGACAGCGGUGGUGGCGGCGCUGGGAGGGUAGCAGAGUCCGUGUUCCUCUCUCAUGAUGCUGGUUAGGCUGACACCACUAUGAGUCUGAAUUCUGAAACGUUUUGCUCUCUCACCAACACUACUUUCCAAAGGCUUUAGUUGAAGAUACUCGUGUUUUUAAGGGUAGUUUUUUUUAUAUUUCUUGUGAUAGACUGGCAAGUCUUUAAAUUAUUAUAAGGAGAAACUGUCUGAAAACCCGGGUAAUCGUUCUGUGGCCUUGGAGAACUGUCGUGGUGAGAGAGCAAUGCGUUUCUGAAUACGGGCGAUGAGCGAGGCCUUUUGUCUAGUGUGACAGUGUAAGGGGUACGUCCUUUAAGAGAGUGAGAGAGGGAGAGAGAGAGAGCGGGGUAUAUCUAGUCGUAGUUCUUUUAUAGAUUUUCUUUCUUCUGAUACGUUUCCUAAGUCCAUGAUGUGUUCAAGUCGUUCGUUUUACCUUUAGUAAUUUUGUAUUUUAGAUUUCUACACGUAAGAGAUAUGUAUUUAAUUAUUGAGUAAUAUUCUAGUAAUAUUAGAAAGAUAUUUGAGAGAGAGAGAGAGAGUUGAAAAUAGCUGAUUCAUUGUUUUCUAUCAGUGUUUAUGAAAGUUUAAUAAAAGUUUAUUGACUAGACGCUGGUUUAUCAUAUCGCAUGUGACAUCAAGAUAAGAAGGUCUCAAGAGACAUUAUUAUUAUGCUAAAUAGUCGGUAAGAAGGAGAAUUUAAAGAGUGUUAACAUGCGAGGUACAGUAAUUUAUUUCCUCGACGUUUAUAUUGCACCAAAAAGAAAGUCAAUAUACGUAGUUUUUGUAAUGUAUUUUUGCCAGAGUUGCGUUCAUCCAUCAUGCUGCUAUCUGGGAGUGGCAAGAGCAAACAAGCCCAAGCUAUAUGUUACUGUUGAGUUAUUGACGUAUUUUGAAUCCAGGUUAUUUUUCAAAGGCCAGAGAAAUUAUUCCUUGGAUUCUCAUUGGUGUGUUUCCCAUUGACAUGCUGAACAUAAAUCUUGGUAAACUAUUGCUAGAAUCACGAAUAUAUCCUAGCUAUAAGCAAACACGAGUAAUUUCCACCUGGAUGUUUUAAAAGUGAUAGAAGCAAGACGCUGAAACUCGUUAGAUAUUGAACACAGAUCCAGAACUUGAAUGUGUACUUGGAUAUCGAAGAAAAAAAAAAAAAAACUGCGUGCUAACUCCUGGUAUAUAAAAAGCAUCAAAAGUUUCCAAGGCUCAAUUCAGCACGAAUACAAGAGGUCCCGGCAAUCUAUACAGCAAGAGAGCGUCCCGGUUGCACUCACGUUUAUGUACUGAAUCACAUCCCGCUACUCCUCCACUACAUUAAAAAAAAAAAAACUUUAGUUGAAGUUAUAUUGAGUUUUCAGGGUCUUUUCAUGUUUCUAGUGACAGAUCCAAGAGAUUUGUACAGUGUUAACAACAGAACCACCCUUGAGAAUUCUGCUAAUCAUCUCUGUGGCCUUUGAAAAUAGUCGUGGUGAGAGAGUAAAGCGUGUCUGACUAGGGGCCUCAUACCUGCCUACCUAUCCCAUCACCCUCCCUCCCUCCUCCCCAUGGCGUCGGCAGCACCCCUCAACACAAUGCACCGGGACUAUUCUGACAGUCAUCGCGGAUGCGCCAAGGUCCCUCCCUCCGUGCUGACAGCCGCUGAUGUGUCUGCAGAUGUCUACUGGUGCGGCUGUUCACGGCUGCCACUUUGUUCUCAUGCAGUGUCACCUUCUCAUUCUCACCGGUCCCCCCGACGACCCUGUCUCCGCCAUCUCACCUUCCCGCCACCAAGAGAUCCGAGUUGAUUUGAUCGUGUCUCCCUGGGAAUUCCAUGAUGAUUUGCUUAUGUAAUUGUUGCUGUUGCUGCUGCUGCUGUUGGUGGAGGUGGUAACAGUAGUAUUAUUGAGGUUGUUUAUGAUUUUGUUUUAUUAUUAUUAUUAUUAUUAUUAUUAUUAUUAUUAUUAUUAUUAUUAUUAUUAUUAUUAUUAUUAUUAUUAUUAUUAUUACUGUUAUUAUUAUUAUUAUCAUUAUUACUGUUAUUCUUGUUAUUAUUACUGUUGUUACUAAUUACGUUCAUGAACUAAAGUUGUUAGUACCACAAUUGAGAUCCUUUCUGUGUGUGUGUGUGUGUGUGUGUGUGUGUGUGUGUGUGUGUGUGUGUUUGCGUGUGCAUGCCUCCCACCACCACAGGCCUCAUGGCUCAAGGCAGCAUGGGAGCUAAUGGCGGUCUGGGCGGUGCGAGGGAGGAGUGGCUGCAACAUUACACGCCACGCCUCACUCUUCUCAGGAUACAUUAGAGGGAGGGAAUAAGCCAAAUAAACUAGUCCCUCUGAUAUGCUGAGAAUCAAACACACCAUAACCUCGUCUACAAACACUGUGAACUCUGUAAACCCACGUAAAUUUUCCUAAAAGAACAUACAUCCAUUAAGAUUUUCCGUAGCUAAUAUUUUCCCGUGAUAUGUUUGGUUAGGUUAGGUUAUAAAGUUACGUUUGAGAGAUUUAUCGUAUUCAUUCAGUUUGGGGUGAGGUGUUGAUGGGGGAGUCUUUGUGCAUCUUAGCCAGUUUAGUUAGGCGAGGUUAGGUUAAAGGAGUGUAUUGUAAUGAAAGAUUCGUUUUGGUU